GGUGGGGUGGCAGAGUGGUUAAACGCGCCUGACUCGAAAUCAGGAAUGGUCGCAAGGCCAUCGGGGGUUCGAAUCCUCUCCCCACCGCCA
rnacentral:tRNA from 1 species